rnacentral:rRNA from 1 species
AAACGGGGUCUAAUACCGGAUAACACUUUCCCUCUCAUGGGGGAAGGUUAAAAGCUCCGGCGGUGAAGGAUGAGCCCGCGGCCUAUCAGCUAGUUGGUGGGGUAAUGGCCUACCAAGGCGACGACGGGUAGCCGGCCUGAGAGGGCGACCGGCCACACUGGGACUGAGACACGGCCCAGACUCCUACGGGAGGCAGCAGUGGGGAAUAUUGCACAAUGGGCGAAAGCCUGAUGCAGCGACGCCGCGUGAGGGAUGACGGCCUUCGGGUUGUAAACCUCUUUCAGCAGGGAAGAAGCGAAAGUGACGGUACCUGCAGAAGAAGCGCCGGCUAACUACGUGCCAGCAGCCGCGGUAAUACGUAGGGCGCAAGCGUUGUCCGGAAUUAUUGGGCGUAAAGAGCUCGUAGGCGGCUUGUUGCGUCGGUUGUGAAAGCCCGGGGCUUAACCCCGGGUCUGCAGUCGAUACGGGCAGGCUAGAGUGUGGUAGGGGAGAUCGGAAUUCCUGGUGUAGCGGUGAAAUGCGCAGAUAUCAGGAGGAACACCGGUGGCGAAGGCGGAUCUCUGGGCCAUUACUGACGCUGAGGAGCGAAAGCGUGGGGAGCAAACAGA